UGGCAAAAGUCGACCCAACCCGACAACCCGACCCGAACCCGACCCAAAAUUAGCGGGUUUGGGUUGAGAUUUUCAACCCGAAAUAUUAAAUGGGUCGACCUGAACCCGACCUGAAAGUUAAAUGGGUCAGGUUCAGGUCGAAUUUUCUGACCUGAAAAUGACCCGCUUGACCUGAUUUGUAAAUGGGUCAAAAUCAGGUCGGGUCAACCCGUAUAACCUAACCCGAAUAAUUAAACUAAAAAUUAAUUUGUCCAGCCCAAAGAAUUUGGGCCCAAAAAAAAUGAACAUCUAAAACUAAUAUCAGCCAAAAAAAGGACGCUAACCCUAAAAAGAUGAACAUCCACUCUCUGAUCUCUCUCUCUCUCUCACACACAGAGUCUCAGUCUAAGACUCUAAGUUCCUAAACGGCUAACCCUAAAUUUCUCUCUCACUUUCUCACUCACUCUCUCUCUCACUUUCUUCUUUGCUGCCGGCGCCGACGCUCGUCUUCCGCCGCAGCAAUUCGCUGCUCCGAUCCGUCGUCUUCGUUGGUCUUCGGUUUUCUUCGUCUUCUUCGUUGGUUUUCUUCGUCUUCUUCAACAUUCAGCUUAAUAUGGCUGAUGAAGACUUCAAGGAGCAAAUUGAGCUCUCAUCAGAGGCAGAGGAGGAGAUUUGUAGCAAAAAUGGAUCCACAAAUUAAUCUCUUCUUAUUUGCUUUGUUUUUUAAUCUGAAUUUUUUAAAUGUGUAACGUUUGUUUGAGUUGUUUGUGUAACUCUAAAUCUGAAUUAUAUGUGUUGUACUGUUAUUGCCAAGUAUGAACUUGGUUAGCUAAGUUUAUUUAAAUUUCAUUGAACUAUACAAUUGUUUUGAAUGUAAAAAAAAAUCAGGUUA